rnacentral:rRNA from 1 species
GACGGGGGGUCCAAGCGUUGUUCGGAAUCAUUGGGCGUAAAGCGUGUGCAGGCGGUCUAGAAAGUUGGAUGUGAAAUCCCCAGGCUUAACCUGGGAACUGCGUCGGAUACUGGUUGGCUUGAAUCCGGGAGAGGGAUGCGGAAUUCCAGGUGUAGCGGUGAAAUGCGUAGAUAUCUGGAGGAACACCGGUGGCGAAGGCGGCAUCCUGGACCGGCAUUGACACUGAAAAGCGAAAGCCAGGGGAGCAAACGGG